rnacentral:lncRNA from 1 species
CAAAUGGCAAGACUGGCAAUGUGGAUGAGGUUAAAGACGGCAAUGGGUCUACGCUGACAAAGUCACUAUUUUCAGAUAUAUAGUACACAUAUGCAUAAUUUGGUUCGAAAAAGGGUAAGAGUGAUAUAAUUUGUGGAGUCUCAACCAUGAUUUUCUGGAACAAGAUUUCAAAGUAAAUCAUAAGAAGAAAGAAAGAAAAGUUAGACAGAUGAAGAUGAUAAAUUGAUGUUUUU